rnacentral:rRNA from 1 species
AUGUCUCUUUGAAUAAGAUGUAUAAAGAGUUUGGCCUGCCCAGUGAAUAAUUUUUAACGGCCGCGGUACUCUGACCGUGCGAAGGUAGCAUAAUCAUUUGUCUUAUAAUUGAAGUCUAGAAUGAAUGGCUUGACAAGAGUAAUGCUGUCUUUAACUUUCUAUUAUAACUUUAUUACUAAGUUAAAAAGCUUAGAUACAAUUAAAAGACGAGAAGACCCUAUCGAGCUUCAGGAAAUUACUAAAAUUCUUAACAUUUAUGUAAAUAGAAUAUUUUAUAAAACUUUGGUUGGGGCGACCCGAGAACAAAAGAAGCUUCUCAUAAUAAUAUUUAUUGGUUGAUUUAGAUCCACUUGUUGUGAUAAAAAGAAUUAGUUACCGUAGGGAUAACAGCAUUAUCUUUUUUGAGAGCUCUAAUCGAAAAAAAGGUUUGUGACCUCGAUGUUGGACCAGCAUAACCUGAAGAUGUAGAAGUC